AGUGCAGGUGAAGGGGAUGGUAGUAACUUCCCCGCUCUGUAUGUUAAUUAAAGAAUUUGAAUGUUGUGCCAAUGUGUCAUCAUCGAACAGUUUCAGACGUGUGCUAAUCCAUGGUCAGAUCUUGACUUGUUCUACUUGACAGUGGAUUAAACAUUCAAUGUGCCAAUGUUUUGUUACACAAUAAUUACAGACUUACUUGAUGUGCUGAUGGCUGCUAUGGGAACUUAAGUUGGGUUUUGUAGCAGGACGAUGGUGGAGCUAUAACAUGAAGUGGAGAGGAGCUCUCUUACGCCUAAUCUGUUUCUUCGUGUUCUAUGACCGUCAUGUUGCGGCGCAAGUCUGGUGUCCAGUUCCAUUAAGUGUAAGUGUUGGAAACAAGACGUCCAGUGGAGGCCGUGAAGGAACACCGUACAGUGUUGAGUGUAGCAGAGGCUGCUGUCAUGGUACCAGUGAUGGCUGCUGUUAUCGGACUACGGAGGAUGUCAUCGUUUACACCGUCCCGGUGUGUGUCUGCCUAAUCAUCAUCAUUAUCAUCCUGAUCUGUAUCUUCAAAAGACUCAGAGACAAAAGAAGGCGUGAACAGCAGGAGGAAAAUAAACAUGGUCAAGAUAACCCUCCUUCUUAUUCUUCUUGCGUACAUCCGGUUUCGAGUUCAUCGACCUUAGCCUUGGCUGAAUCAGAGCACAUGGUGGAGGUAGUGAUUCACCCUCCACCCGUUGAAGAAGAAUGUGAAGGCGUCGCCCCUGUCCCCCCACCCCCAGUAUAUGACGACAUUUUCAAGAGAGUGGAAGAGGACCAAAUCGCCGUGAUUAGCCCAAGUGGACAUGUCAGCUUUGUGGACCAUACCCUCAUACCGGCCAUUAAGUAUAGCCUGAGUCAGAACGACCUCCGCAGUAAGCUGGGUGACGGGGUGCGCGCCACCAGAAGUAGCGUGUCCUUACCACAGUCUAACACGCAGGGCAACGAACUUGCUCCCUGCGAAAACAGCAGCAACCUUAAUGACGCCGCUGACCCACAGAACAAAAGCAGUAAUGGCGAUGGUGAGGGUGCUGAAAAUGGUGUCCAGAAUUAUGAAAGCAAGAUCUUCUUCUCUCUGGAGUUCCCUGACGAGGAAACGCCCUUGGAGUGAGCUCAAUAAACACCCCUAAUGACACUCAUUGUUAGUGAGUAAUGCAUAGAAACUAACACACUGGGACACCAGACGAAGUAAAUAUUAAACUUGAAAUUUAUCAAUUUACAUUCCUCUAUUCAGGGUGCACAUUCAUAGACAAAACCUGGACAAAAAAGAGACUAGAGACGGAUUCUCAAAAACGGCUCUAACGGUUUUCCCAGAAAUUUGUCACUUGAUAUAUAUCUUUUGGAAAAAGGAUUACUAACUAGUUGGCCACAGAGGGGAAAUCUAGCUUGACAGUUAUAAUUUUUUAUAGUAAAAUAAAAAAUUAAUUUAAAUUUAGCUAGAGUACUAGACAAUCUUUAUCUUGAACUGAUUACGUCUUUGGGUAUUUCCGCAUGUUGCCCCUAUUAGCGGCCCCCGAAAGGGGUAAAGACGCUAUUAGUUAUGUGUGAAAUGUCUGUCCGUCUGUCCGUCCGUCCAGUUUAGAUCUCGUAAACUAGAAAAGAUAGUGAAAAUCCGACAUCAUAAUAUUUUAGUCCAUUCAAAGUUCUGAUGCAAUGGCUACGUUUUUCUUUUCUAAAAGCAAAAAAUCUAAUUUUUUAAAUCACUUAUGCAAGCAUUUUGUUUCAUAAAAAUACACCACUUUAACAACUAUUCACUAUUAAUAGUAACAAACACUGGAGGCUCUUUAGUAGGGGAGAUCACCAUUUGCCAUAUUUGUAACACACUUAUGCAAACGUUUUUUGUUUUCCACACAAGAUCUGUCAACCUUCUUUCUCCAUUCUUCUCUCUCAUUUGUCUUUGAUCGAAUUUAAUCUUUCUGAAACUAUUGAUACCUGCCUUUUUUACCUGUCUUGGUGGACUACUUCGGGGGCCGAUUUUGAGUUUGUGUUUCCACUGAAACUGUCUUUGUAACCUUGUUCAUUAAAGAGUUUGAUAAAUUGAUGUCUAAGAACACAUUUUUCGCACCGCCUAAAUCUCGAUCUAAAGGCAUAUUAUUUACUACAUUCGCUUAACCAGGAUUUUAAAUUCUAACAUUCAUUAGUUAUCAAAAACAAAAUAAUUAUCUAUAGUGCUGUAUUGAAGAGAAACAGUCAUUUUUAAAAAGUAUAUACUUCUAUUUUUUUUGUUUUGAGUUAGUAUGACAAAGACAACAAGGAAAAUUAAGAUUUCCAAAGAUGGUCUAAACACAAAUGAAACACUAGUGUGUAGCAAAUGCAAGUAGUCUAUGAUAUUUGUGUUUUUUUUUUUUUUUUUGCAGGUAAUAUAAUCUGUAGUGAUAACAAACAAAAAUAUUAAUUGAUAUGAUUCCAAAAGACUACCAAGUAUUACCUCCUUUAGAUGACUGAUUGUAUUUUAUCUUAUGCAAACUUUAUAAAAAUAUAUCUUGAACAUUUCAUCGUUGACGGGUAGGCAAGUAUUGGCUUCGUAAUGUUCCGUAGAUCCUGCAUUCAAAAUAUUAAUAUGAGUUACGUACCCUAGUUUCGUGUUUCGCUCUAGACUACGUGAAAACGUACUUAUUGAUGACUACAUCUUAUCUUAUCUUAUAUAAUACAGACGUUACUUCAAAAAAGAAGAUGAUUACGUCAUACGCGUCAUGCAUUUAGUCAUGCAUAUUAACCAAUGACUUAAAUUCUGACAAGUCACUGGUUUUCCUGGCGGAGCUUUAACAUUGACCUUGGUUUCUUUUUUCUCAUAGGUAUGUAGAUUAAUUCAAGAAAGGGAGUGCACGCUUUUAGAAGACCAUUAUAAGCCCAUGUGGUACUAGUGUUCGGUAUUAAGUACACUUCAAACAAUUUGAAUUCUUCUGAAAAUUGUGUAAUUUUUUUUUUCGAAACCGGUACAGUUAUCAGAGUGUACGUUGCUUUUUAUUUUAUACAGUAAUUCUCUAAUUCAUAAUAGGUGUUAAUAAGUACAAUAUUCCUUCCACUUUAAGCAUUUAUUCACACUUUCUUUAGUGCGCAACUUUCUUUCGUUACAUUUUUUAAAUUACUUUUUUAUUUUUAUUUUUAAAUCGAAUUCGUAGCCGAUUAAUUUACCAAAACAAUUUUUUAAAUUAACUAUUUCAACCCAAUAUGUUUUUUAAAGUCGGCAUUUAAAUGUCUAAAGUACAAAACUGUGAUUUCUUCCACUUAAAGCACUUGGCAUUUUAUUUUGGUGCGUAACUUUCUUUCGUUCCAUUCCUUGUUUAAAUUUGUUUAUUUUUAAACAAUAUCUAUUAGAGCUAGAUAAUUGUCAGAGUGAAUGUGAAGGGUUAUAAUUAGGUCACUGUGAUUAUCAAAUGUGUUUUUACAAAGAACGUGUAUUAAAGCGUGUGUAAGGAGACAAGUACUACAGUUUGAAAAUGUUUAGACUGUAGACAGUGAUGUGUAGCAGAGACGUUUCAUUUCAAAGUGAUGUGUCCAUUGCGUGUGUGUUUUGUGAUGGGCGCGUUAUAAUGCAGGCGGUCGAGAAGGCUACAACUGAUAGGCCUUAGAAGCGUUGGUGUAUACUUUAUAUUACGGGGGUUUGAACCCUUGCCUAGUACUGGUUUCUAAUCGUUAUACGUAACAGCAAAAAAAAAUAAAAAAAAAUGGACACUUACAUCACGCGUUAAUCUGUGAUUUUCCUUCAUUGAAUCUAUGCUCUAGCCUGUGUAGUUGUUUAUUUAAUAAAUCAUUUUGUUUGGUGUCCAUUGAUGACUUAUGUUUACCGCAAUACAUUUCAUUUGGAACGAUGUAUAUAAUUACUAUUAUUAUUAUUAUUAUUAUCAGUCAUGUUUCAUAUUCACUGGUGCUGCCAGGAUUAAGAUUCUUUUAAAAUAAAUUCAUAUUUCAUUAUAGUGCUUGAAGAAUUAUCUUAUGAUAUUGCAGGUCUAAGGCAGUACCGUUCUGUGGCAAGUAUAAAUUAAAAAUAUUCACAGGAACAUUCAGGGUAACGAAGAUGUCUACAUGGUUAUUUGUUACUAAUUAGUUACUACCCAUUCGGCUGAUACCUCAAUUAGGAAUAUUGUAAUUGUAAUUAACUUCCACAGCCGAUUAACCUCCAAGCAGUUUUCAUAUUUUGUUCUUUUGUUGUAAAUGUAUUUUUUUACGUUUUAGGAUAGUGGCGCUGGGAUGUUGAUGACGAAAUCUGAUUUUUCAUGUUUAUCAAUAAUAAUAAUAAAAAAAAGAACAACCAAAGUUCAUUGAGGGGGAAGAACUCAGCAUUAAAAACUAUAUUUCUCAGUAAUGUAGAAGUUAUUUCCAUUCGAUAUCCAUCAAAGUAAUUAAUUAUCAAGAUCUUUUCCUUGACUUUCGUCUAUAAGGUGUUUCUUGGGUCUGACUGCCUCUUCAAACUCAAUGUGUCCUAAGGAAAGCUUCCAUCUGGCAUGCGGUUGAUAUGUCCUAGCCAACGUAGUCUUUGCGUCAAAAUAGAAUAGAUACUGCGCGUACUGGCCAAAUUCAAAACUUACUGAUAAAGAUAACUCAAGUUACUAUAUUUGGAAAGUAAAAUUACAUUGAUCAAAUGUGUAUUAUCUAUAAAACUUAAAAUCACAUUUCUAUUUAAAAUCAGAUCGUUUAACUGGACCAGCGUCUUAUUCGGACCAAAUUCUAAAUUACCGAAACGAAUCCUGUUUACAGUCCGAUCCGUUUAAUUGGACCAGCCGCUUAUUAGGACCAAAACGAUCUCGUCCCGAUGUGGUCCAAUUAUAGUAGUCCACUGUAGAUCAGUCAACACAUCUCUUUUCAUGUUGGUAUAAAGAGAGCACAAGUUAAGCCUAGAAAGGUUGUUAUUACAUAACUCUUGUUUUAUUGUUUUGUGUGACCGCAUUGCAAUGUGACGAAGUGGCAGUAUUAAGACUAAUUGUCCACUGCCACUCUACACUGCCCUAUAUCUUAUAAUUGAUAUUCUGCAUAAGUGUUCUUAACCAAGCAACUUCAAACUGGCACGCUUCGUUACUUCAAUGACCCUGCAUGGCAACUAUUUGGAAGUUGGGCCACAUGCGUCCCUUUCAGUUCAUGGAUGCGGCCCGCGUGGAGGAGGAUGUCAUAUUUUCAUCCGUGAACAGCUAAUUAUGAAACAUUUUUAUUUUUCAGACAUUAAAAUUUGCUUUCUUUCAUAGAUAUUUUCCCUAAAAGAAUGAAAAGAUUAAAAGAUUUAAUACGAAGGUAGAAAAAAAAAGUGUUAGCCGAACUUAAUAUUGAGUGUUUGGCCUCUAGAUGUAGAAAAAGCUGCUCGACUCUUCUUCUUAUUUUUUUUUUUUAUAGAUGUUAACUGUUAGAUAUGUAGAUGUAGAAAAACCUGGUAAGUUUCGAAACACGUUAACUGUCAUUUAAUGUAUUUCUAAACUUUGUACAUUUCUUUUUAGCUUGCUAGACUUGAAGAUUGAAUAAUUAAAAUAUUACUGGAUUUCUACUUUCAUUUAGUUAAUGCCAUUUUCUUGUCAGAUAUAAGCUUUUUUUUUAUAAAAAGAGAUUGUUUAUGAAAUCUAAAAUUUCUUGUCCAUCUUGCUUUUGUCAAGACUUUUUAAGCUUCUUUAGCGCUGUUCAUAGACACUAAAAUAGUUGAAUUUAUAUUUAAAUCUAUAUUCUAUUUAAUCAUUAACAUCAGAAGUUACUAAUUAAACGAUCCAUUAAGAAGGUUACAAGUCAAGAUCAAUAAAAUAUUUUAAAAAAAAUGAAAUUUGCUGCAAGAAUAAUGCAUUUUUUUUUAAUUGGUCAUUCAAACUUAUGAUUUAAACAUCAUUAUUAUUGUCAUGUGACAGUUAUAUUUUGUAAACUUUAGAACAAAGUAAUUUCUACCAAGCUAACUCUGUCUGUUAAAAUAAUUGUUAACGCUAUUUCUCCCUCACGCAUUCUUCCAUCUAGUUGAUACUUUAAACAAUUAUUUAUUGUACCUAACAAAACAUGAAAAAAUACUCCAUCAAUUAAUUAAUUAUUGGUAUUAUUAUUUUGUUUGAUAUCAAAAAAGGGAAUUAACUUUUAUAUUUUGGAAGAUAUAGUUUUAAGGUCGAAAUUCUUCCCCUUUAGAUAAGUUAAAUUAUUUAUUUUGCUUGUUUCAUCUUGUCAUUCAAAUGUUUUUCUAGAAUUCUUUGUAAGCCGUGAAGACCUUAUAAUAUGACCAUAUAGUUUAAGUUUGCGUUUUUUUUUUUACAGUAGUUAGUUGGUUAUCGUGGGGUCCAAUCGCUGUUUCUUGUUUCAAAUCUCUUCGUUUGUGAUGCGGCCUUGUAUGAAAUACCUAGGAUCUUUUUGUAGCAUCUCAAUUCCAUUGCUAGGAUCCUCCUAUCAAGUUCUGUAGUCAGCGUCCGAGAUUCGCAAGCAUAUAAGAAUGUGGCCUGGGAACGUUUCAGUCUGAUUUUAGUGUUGAGGGAUACGCCUUUGUCUUUAAAAAUUGUUUUGAAUUUUUCAAGUGCUGCUGUAGAAUUAUACAGAAGAACAGCACACAAUAGUAUAUAAAAGUAUGGGGUUUAAUUAUAUCUUCUUUUUUCUCAUUAUUUUAUUUCUCUUUAGCGUUUUCUACAAUAUAUUUUCUUAAAGAUACACACAAAUUGUAGGCUGAAAGCCUAUUGAAAAUAUUUUUUUUAAUAAAAAAAAAUUGUGCAUACAUUGUGUAAAAUUAAUGCAAUUUUAAACUCUAUUUAAGAUUUUCUGGUUGAGGCUAUCAGGACAUCUUAAAUGUGACGCAUUCGACCUUAGCUCGCUCCUAAUCGUAAAUGCCUGCCCUAAUCAAUAUUAAGAAAAAAAAAUACAAAUCUAGGAAAGGCUGUAUAAAAUUCGUUGCGAUUUAUCGCAAAGAGGCAAAAUAAUUACGUCAUCGAGGACGAAUUAUGUGGGCGUUCCCUCGCAGCUGAGAUGGCUAAAUGGUGACGGCUAAUUCCGUGUCAGUGGUGCUCAACCUACGACCCCCGGGCCAAACGUGAAGCGGUGCUAUCGAGUCUCUCCAAAGUUCAUACUAAAGACACACCUUCCAUUAGAUUCGACGAAUUUAUUAUUAUAUUCUUUCGGCUAUAAUGCGAAAUGACUCUUUUGGAUUUUUUAAAAUAUAUUUAAGCCUGCAGGGCAAGCAGCUUUGGGUACCACUGCUCUGUGUCAUUCUGACUUAAGAUUGUCCAUUGCUGAAUAUAUUAUCGACACUGUUAUUAAGUUGACUCUGGUUGCUCGGUAAAUAGACCUCUUUCCUUUGCUUGUCAAGAGUUAAACGACCAGACAUACAACGUGAUAUAAUUACAUACUCAUUGAUCACCAUUAGUGUCAUUGGCUAACAAUUUCCUCAAAUCAAGCAGUUCACUCAUUGGUGGUCAUUAAGUACAUUAGCAUAUUACGUGAAGACCUGGGUUAGCUAUAAGUACCAGACGUUAACAGUAGAACACCAAGAAGCGGCCUCAAGGAGACUUCUGUACACAUCAGCAGGCACUGUCUUAGGUUACCUUUAUAUCUACCACUACUUAAAACUUGAAGCACCAUGAUCUUCCUCCUCCAAACACUAUGUGUGUUGUCCGCGUGGGAGAUGACCGCACUGGCCACCUCCAACUGGAACCAAGAGGCCAGAGAUUACAUCCUGGAGAUUCACAACGACAAGAGGCGGGGAGAAGGUGGAUG